rnacentral:rRNA from 1 species
CUGAUGCAGCCAUGCCGCGUGUGUGAAGAAGGCCUUCGGGUUGUAAAGCACUUUCAGCGAGGAGGAAAGGUCAGUAGCUAAUACCUGCUGGCUGUGACGUUACUCGCAGAAGAAGCACCGGCUAACUCCGUGCCAGCAGCCGCGGUAAUAC